UUACAUAACCUUACACAAUCAAUUUACUUUUUAUGAUUAUUCUGAUAUGCAUGCCCCAUAUAUGUUAUUCCCAAAACCUUUAAAAAGGAGGAAUCCGGGUCAGGUCGUGCAAACCCAAUUAUUUUUUAUUGUGAAUAAUUAAUAACUGCGCUGAAGUUUUUAAUGAUUAUUGGAUAAUUGACCUGUUCUAUAGGUACAUGUACCUAACUUACCAGGUGACAAUACAAGUUUAACCCUUGACAUUGGUAUAAAUUCAAAUGCUUAGUGAUAUAUAAAAAAGAAGAUGUGGUAUGAUUGCCAUUAGGCAUUAUGGACUUUGCUCAUUGUUGAAGGUUUGUACAGUGACCUAUAGUUGUUAAUGUCUGUGUCAUUUUUAGAGUCUCUUGUGGAUAGUUGUCUCAUUGGGCCAAAGGGACAACUGUCCACAAGAGACCAAAAUGGCCAAUGAGACAUGUCCACAAGAGACCAAAAUGACUUAGCUGCGGAACCGUAGCUCAUAGGUCCUUAUGUUAUUUUUGACUAUUUGCAGACCAUAACAUAAGGACCUAUGAGCAUAGAUGGUCCGCAAAUAGUAAAAAAAUAACAUAAGGACCUACAUGUAUGAGCAUAGAAGGUCCGCAAAUAGUCAAAAAAUAACAUAAGGACCUAUGAGCUACAGUUCCACAGCUAAAAAUGACUCAGACAUUAACAGCUAUAGUCACCAUACAGCCGUCAACAAUGAACGCCCAUACGGCAUAGUCAGCUAUAACAGGCCUCGAUAAGUACCGAUUAUCAGGUUAUCUGCAUGUUGAUAUCGUAAAAUAUCAGCUGCAAGACAUCAUAUGAAGCUUUUUGACGAGUGAGCAUAGCGAACGAGAUCGAAAAGCAUUCAUAUGAUGUCAAGCAGCUGAUAUUUUCCAAUAUCAAUAUGCAGAUAAUCUGCAGAUAAUCAAUUUAACAGGCUAUAUUUGAGUGUUUCAGAAGUGUCUUCUUUGUUUCACCAGCACACACAAGAUGACUUGAUAAGUUCGGGUCAAAGUUAUUAACGUCGGUUCAAACAUUAUGACGUCGCUGAUAUGUCCGGGUCAAAGUUAAUAAGGCCGGGUCAAUGUAUUUGACGUCACAAAGACAUGAUACGGAAUAAUAUUAAGAGCUGAACAGAGUGAUAUAGACAGUGGAACAACCGAUAAGACAUAUGUAAAACAAUUCAAACGAGAAAACUUAAGAUAUGUGCAUUGUUCAUCAUAUUCAUACAUGUAUUGUAUAUGAAGAUUAAUAAGAUUAAAGUAAACAAUGUGGUAUGUUUCCAAAAUAAAAGCUAUCCACCAAUGACCAACUGAUGUCGAUGCAAUUACUAGCCAUACAAAUGAUACAUACAUGUUGGUCACCAUACUUCCUUCAUUUAUAUUAUGACUAUUGAGUAAAUUUUUGCAAACAUGGCAAACCUGUACAUGUACAUGCUGUUUAUAUACACCACAUCUUCCUAUAUCUAUAUAUUACUACAGUUCAAUGACUCAAGUUUUAAAUGCAUAAGCUUAAGGUCAUAACAGAAUUUAAACUAACUAUCAUAAUUGUAUGAACAUCAUGAUGAAUAUUUACAUUCUCUCAAAGAGUUUUAAUUUUACUUAGCUAAUACAGAAGAUGAUGGAUUCCCCAACAGAAAUCUUGAUGAUCGAACAAUUAAGGUGAAAAAAUUGAAGAAUUGCAUCAAUUGUUACAGAGAAUCAAUUUGCAAGCAGAAACAGGUGCUCAAAGAUAAGGGAAUACAACAGCCAUCCAUGAUCCUUUACAUGUAAAGUAAGUAGCUGUUCAUGAUGCUUAUAGGAUAAUACAAUCUAGUCUGGGCAUGUAAAACAGCAGCUGGUUCUAUUUUGAAAAUCUACAAAAUAGAGCUAAGGUCCUUUAAGCAAAGAAACUGCUAGUGUCUGAAGAGGACAAUUUAAGACAGGACAUGAAAAUUGAUUUAAUGUCAAGUCGGAACAGUGAUUCUGUAAAUAAACUCGCCUGAUCACAAGACCUCGGAUUUGACUGAAUCUUACAUGGAUAGACCAAAGUCAUUUACUAGACUGUAAAUACUAGAGGCAGCUGAAAGCACAAGGCACAAAGCUGAGGUCCAAGUAAAUCAGUGAGGCCUUGUCACAAGAAAUGUACAGAACUUGCAUGGUUUUUUUAUUGAGAUAUAUGUCAAUGAAAAUUACUUUGAAUUUAAAAAAGGGCCAAUUCAAUGGUACACUUUUGGAAUUUGCAAGAACAAAAAUACCUUCAUGUUUACUUUUGAAUUAUAGUUGACAAUCUUCACUUUAAGGGGAACCUCUGAAAAUAAGUCCAAUGGAGGGGUUUGGUUUAUUGAAUUCAAUUAUUUUUUAAAGAAAAACAGAUGAAAUAUUGCUCUUUAAUUUCAACAUUUGCAUUUUGCUAUUAAAAUUAUUUACAAGUGCAGCAUAUCCAUGACAUCAGAUAAUGUUAUUGUGUUUGGUUAAGCUACAUAUUUCUUUUUACUUAAACUUUCUGUUGACUUUACUAGUUAAUAAAAUGCUGAAUAAUAAUUUGAGUGUGGCUCAUUCGAGUGUCUAGUAUUUCCUGUCAAUUUCUUUGAUGAUUUUACCAUAUUAUUUAUAAUCCCUUGGUCAAAGGGAGAUAACUUAUUGUAUUUUCACAUUAAAAUGCUGAAUAAUAAUUUGAGUGUGGCUCAUUCCAGUGUCUAGUAUUUCCUGUCAAUUUUUUUGAUGAUUUUACCAUAUUAUUUAUAAUCGCUUGCUCAAAGGGAGAUAACUUUUUGUAUUUUCACAUUAAAUCAUCUGCGAAGAGGAUUAUGUAAAAUGUGAAUUGUUGAAAACUAAUUUUAUGGUUCAAUAAAAUCAAAAUAAGUUACUGCCAUUCAUUAUAAAUAAAUUUCUAUCAAAAAUAAGGCUCAAAGAACUUUUUAUAUUACUAAUAUUAACAAUAACAAUGUACACACAUGUUGACGUGUUAAUACACAACGUCAGAGUGGGUGUGUCACCAUAAAAUGUAAACAUUGAAAACAAAAAUGAUACUUUUAACUAAUCAGGAGACAGUUAAUACACCAAAUAUAUUUUUAAACCUAUAAACUUAUUAUUUUCUUCAAAUUUUAAGGUGUCUUUGUUUGCUAUUUGUUAUAACCCUAUUGUUAUAAUUCUUAAACCAUCUAUACAAGUAAGCAUGUUGAUUUGUCACUUACCAUUAUUUUAUUGAUUACUUUGAAUUUGAUGAGGUUCUUCGAUGUAGAACUGGACUUAUUUAAACAAAAAAUGUUUUGUUUAUUUGUUUGAAAGUAAAAUUGUAUA